rnacentral:rRNA from 1 species
GAUAGGUGCCAGCCGCCGCGGUAAUACGGAGGGUGCAAGCGUUAAUCAGAAUUACUGGGCGUAAAGAGCGCGUAGGUGGUUUUUAAGUCAGGUGUGAAAUCCCCUAGGGCUCAACCUAGGAACUGCAUUUGAAACUGGAAAACUAGAGUUUCGUAGAGGGAGGUAGAAUUCUAGGUGUAGCGGUGAAAUGCGUAGAUAUCUGGAGGAAUACCCGUGGCGAAAGCGGCCUCCUAAACGAAAACUGACACUGAGGCGCGAAAGCGUGGGGAGCAAACAGGAUUAGAUACCCUGGUAGUCCAUGCCGUAAACGAUGUCGACUUGGAGGUUGUUUCCAAGAGAAGUGACUUCCGAAGCUAACGCAUUAAGUCGACCGCCUGGGAAGUACGGCCGCAAGGCUA